CGAAAAUUACAUCCCUUCUUUUACUAAUUCUUUCGGAAAUACGAUCUCUGAGGAUUUUCGGGUGGUAAUUCCGUCGUAACCGUUUUUGACCCCAACACCGGACAGGUAUCACAACCAGCCCCUGGAAAGAUCUGAGGGGAUGAUGGUGUCCACGUGGCCCGACGUCUCCUGAUCAACGUGCUGAGGCAGAUGGGCCCGUAGGUCAAGUGGCCUCAGAAUAUGAGAUCACCCGAUUCGUUCUGAAAUCCAAACUGGGGGUGUAACUUCCACAAUGACCACGAUCACAAGACGGAAGACUGCGUCGCACUAAGGAUCGAGCUUAACGAGCUACUGAAGAAUGGACACCUCCAUGAGUUCUUCUCCAAUAAGGCCAAGGGACUCCUCAAUAAGGACUGGCAACCAGCCUAGUGAGGCUGCCUCUGCCUCACCUCCUAGACAAGAUAGAGUGAUCCACGUCAUCUCAGGCAUAUCAGAAUUAAGCGGCAUAACCCACAACUGCAAAAAAGAGCAUGCAGAAUGCCAAGAACGGUCACGAGACCGGGAAAACAAAGAGCUUGCUUCUGGGUCAUGACAAAAUCAGUUUCACCGCCAAGGAGCAGGAGAAUGUCCUAGCUCCCCGCCACAACGCCUUAGUCAUAUCGCUCAGUGUAGCGAAUUACUUUGUAAAGCGAAUACUGGUGGAUAACGGGAGUUCGAGCAACAUCAUCUUCCAAGCCGCCUACCGUGACCUAGGGCUGGAAGAGAAUGCACUAACGUGAAACAUCACCCCGCUCAUAUUAUUCAGCGGAGAAGUCCAGCAGACCGCCAGAAAAGUCAUUCUCCCGGUAUACACUGAAGGGAUCAACAUGUCCACAAGUUCUUUGUCGUCGAAUGUAAGUCAUCAUACAAUAUGAUACUCGGGCGGCCAUGGAUCUACAACAUGGGAGCCGUUCCCUCCAUGCUCCAUCAGAUGAUCAAGUUCCCCACUCCUUGGGGCAUACUUUUUGUGCUUUGUUCCUUUCUACGCAUGUCAUAAGUGGUCUGGAGAACCUCCAUUUGUAGAUUUCUCCGUCUACUAAAACGUAUUGUUCGGCCUGGGCCUUGAAUUUUCGGGCUGUUCAUUUUUCUGAAGGGAGCAUUUUGCCAGCAAUGUAUGCUCGAAUUGUUUCCACCAUAGUUUAUCGCAGCCAUAUUCGAAUUGUUCCAUGUUUGUGAUAUACCAUUGAUUUUACCCAUUUUUAGCCAUGGUAUAUGAGUUUUUUAGAGUAUAUUAUAUGGGUUUAGAGUAUGUUUUAGACUGUUUUCAGGAUCAGGUACGUUUUGGAAAACUUUGGUGAUUUUGGAACCUUUUGGAGCCUUUUGAGGUGGAGAACUGCAUAGACGCGUCAGCUGUUUAGAUAUAGAUGGAGACCUUCCCAUUGUUACAUUAAGCUGAUAUUUAGACACAUGACAGAGCUUUGAGUUAGAAUUUCAAUGACACCGGUUUGAGGUAAAUCUAACGGUUAUAUCAGAAGUUAUGUUUGUUUUACUGAAAAGUGGUAUGUUUGCCUCACGAGAGGAAGCUGUCGAGGAGAUGAAGGAAUGUCGAUCGACGACACAGCCUUGGUGUCGAUCGACGGUGAUCCCAGAAGAUGGGCCUAGCCUAUUUCAUGACCCACUUAACGCAGAAGUCACCAAUUAUUACCAGAAUAUCCAUGGACGACCUAAAAUCCUAUUUAUGUAUAUUCUAAGCCAUUGUUGAUGGAAACGCUUUCUUUACAUCUUUUGUUCUUAGUUUAUGUUAGGAGUGAAGAGAUGAACUAUUUCAGAGUCCUCUUGGAACUCCACUAGUUUUAUUAUUCAUUCUAUUUCAUCUAUGGUUUUCUGUGACAACUAUCAUGGUUGAAUAGAUCCACUUGCUAGGUUUAGGUUUAAUUAGGGUUCUUGAUGGAUUAGCCAAAACUAUAGAAUUGCUUGGGUGAUAAUUAGAUAUCGUUCAAUAGAUUUGUUCUUAUUGCUUGUGUUCUAGAGUCUCGAACUAGAACCCUGAACUUAGGAUAAUUAUGCGCACGCGACAUCAUGGUUUAUUACCUGAAUUAAUUUUCUUGUGCUAGGAUUGUUAGAAACAAGAUACAGCUGAUUUAGCAAGCCUAGUGAACGAUUCGUUCAGAUUGAUAACACUUGCCUAAGGAAGCAUUGAUCGACGCUAACUCAAUUGCAUCGAACGACGCUGGAUCCGUAUCAACACGCGUUACCUGAGAUACUUGAUUUAGUCACAAUAAAACUCGCAUGCAAAAGCUGGACAACUUUGCAUCAAAAUUCAAGUUCUAGGAUUUUAACCUUAGCAUCUAUAUUACUAUAAUCCUGAUUACCUGAAACUCUAAGUCUAGCAACCUUCCUUCCAUCAAACAACUCAUCAAUCCUACUGAACAACUGCUUUGUUAACCUGCUUUAUUAUAUUUACUGCAUUAUAAAAUUACUAGCCUAGCUUAAUCGCGAAUGUAUUGAGUUUAUUGUGCGCCCACGCUCCCUGUGGAUUGAUAGACCAUUGAUUUGACCCAUUUUCAUCCAUGGUUUAUAGGUAUUUUUCUAAUAAUUAUUAUAUUAUAUAGUUUAUUUACUAUAUUUAUAAGAUCAUGAGUGAUUUGGAGAUAAGUGAUGAUUUUGGAGCAUUUUGGAGAUAUUUGGAGCAAUCACCCGAGAUGACCAUCGAGCUCGACCAUCGGUCGAUAUUGGAGAGGAAUAAUCGACCGAUGUUCAUAUCAUGACAUCGAUUGACAGCAAAGCGCACAGAAAUCUCGUUUGGUCACAGCCGACUUGAAGCCCAAGUCUUCACCAAUUUACUAGAUUGCUCCUGACGAGUUUUAACCUAAUUAAAUAAGAUUUGCCACUAUGUUAGAGGCAAAGUGUGCUUUUCUAGUUUUAUUAUUGUCACAGCAAGGUUUUCUAGGAUUUUGAUAGAUUGGAGAGAAGAUCCAAAGUUAUAAUUUGUGAUUGGAACUCCAUUGAUAUCUAUUUACUACUCUAAUGAAGUUUUCUUACCUAACUGUUGUUAUAAAUUUCUUAGCCAUGUCUGAGUAGUUCCAUUGUUAGAUUUUAGGGUUUAAAUAGGUUAGGAGGGAUUAGCUCCAACUAUAGAUUGCUGAGUUGUGGUAAUUGUCAUUAGGAUUGUUCAUUAAUGCAUGUCUCUAGAUUAGCUACCUAGAACCUGCCCUAGGAUUGAUAGAUAAAAGCGAGAGCUUCAUUCUCAUCCUAAAAACAAUCUAACUGAGCUAAGUUUCUUGCUAUGAGUAAGGCGAGAGCUGAUCUAGUGAGCUUAGCAAGCAUUCAUUCAACCCGCGCAUAAAGAUUAACUAGAAGCGCGUCGAUCUAUAUCAUUAUUGAAUAAUCGAUCGACGGAGCAAAAGGUGUAUCGAUCGAUGAUAGACUAUGGAUUUGACCCAUUUUCAUCCAUAGUUUAUAGGUGCUUUUACUAAUAAUUAAUAUAUUAUAGAGUCUAUUUAUUAUAUUUAUAAGAUCAGGAGUGAUAUUGAUAUUGAUCCAAAGUUAUAAUUUGUGAUUGGAACUCCAUUGAUAUCUAUUUACUACUCUAAUGAAGUUUUCUUACCUAACUAUUGUUAUGAAUUUCUUAGCCAUGUCUGAGUAGUUCCAUUGUUAGAUUUUAGGGUUUAAAUAGGUUAUGAGGGAUUAGCUCCAACUAUAGAUUGCUGAAUUGUGGUAAUUGUCAUUAGGAUUGUUCAUUAAUGCAUGACUCUAGAUUAGCUACCUAGAACCUGCCCUAUGAUUGAUAGAUAAAAGCGAGAGCUUCAUUCUCAUCCUGAAAACAAUCUAACUGAGCUAAGGUUCUUGCUAUGAGUAAGGCGAGAGCUGAUCUAGUGAGCUUAGCAAGCAUUCAUUCAACCCGCGCAUAAAGAUUAACUAGAAGCGCGUCAAUCUAUAAGCUUUGCUGCCAUGUUAGAGGCAGAGUGUGCUUUCAUUGUUUUACUAAUUUCACAGCAAAGUUUUUUAGGAUUUUGAUAGAUUGGGGAGAAGAUCCAAAGUUAUAAUUUGUUAUUGGAACUCCAUUGAUAUCUAUUUACUAUUCUAAUGAAGUUUUUAUACUUAACUGCUGUUGUUAAGAGAUUUUUGUGUAGGCUCUUUGUGAGUACUACGGAACGUUGGACAAGCUGGUAAACCGGGUAAGUUUUUGUGUAUUUCGUAAGGAUUUGAGAGAAAGUGAUGAAGAGAUAGGCUUGAAGAGAUCUUUAUUAGAUAGAACAAACAAGAUUACAAGGCAUUGAAUAAGAACCCUAAAUCUAGCCGUCUAGUUCCAGUCUCUAAGUCUUGGAGAAGUCGAUCCCUGUUUUAGGGCUUUAGUAGCUCUUAUAUAGUCAUCUAGGAGUCAGUUCCUUUAAGUUAAACUCUUCCAUAUUCGGAAAUGUGGGAGGUUCUUCUUAUCGUAAGUUUUCCAUUUCUUCGGAAGGGAGCUUGGUUACAGGGACCGAACUCGGGUUCCUUCUAGCGGGAACCUGGAGUGUUCCCUUUAGCGGGGACCCGAGGGUCUGGGUCCUACCUGGAGGCUGGAGGAAAUGAUACCGGAGUAUUUUUCCCCAACAGCUGUUAUGAAUUUCUUAGCCAUGUCUGAGUAAUUCUAUUGUUAGGUUUUAGGGUUUUAAUAGGUUAGGAGGGAUUAGCCUCAACUAUAGAUUGCUGAGUUGUGAUAAUCAUCUUUAGGAUUGUUCAUUAAUGCAUGUAUCUAGAUUAGCUACCUAGAACCUGCCAUUGGAUUGAUUGAUAAAAGCGGAAGCUUUAUUCUCAUCCUGAAAACAUUCUAAUAGAACUAUGUUUAUUGCUAUGAGCAAGGCGAGAGCUGAUCUAGUGAGCUUAGUAAGCAUUCUAAUAGAACUAUGUUUCUUGCUAUGAGAAAGGCGAGAGCUGAUCUAGUGAGCUUAGUAAGCAUUCAUUCAACCAGCGCAUAAAUCUUGACUAGAGCGCGUCGAUCGAUAUCACACUUGAAUAAUCGAUCGACGGUGCAAAAGGUGUAUCGAUCAAUAUCCCAUUGGAUCAAUCGAUCGACUCUUUUUAUUGAUCAAUAUAACGAGAGUUGAGAUCAUAGAUCUAGUUAAUAGACAAGUCAAUACAUGCGAAAGCUGAUUGACUAGUUGAUCAAAGUAGUUGAGCUUUACAUUAUCAUGCAUGCAACUCAUUAGGCAUAUGUGGGAUUAUAAUCCCAAUUUUCCUGAAUAAAAACUCGAAAUCUAACUAUUUUCAUUUUUAAGCACCAAAACCCCAAACCUACUAUUGAACAAAUACUUGUUCAAUAUAAAACUGCAAUUUACAUUUAAACUCUAAGAACAAUCUUACUUAGCAAAUCAUAUUAGAAAUCCUUAGGUUCCCUAGCUCCUUGUGAAUUCGAUCCCUAAGUACUAUGACUCGACCUCUUAUUUGAGAGAGUAUAAAUCACUCCUUAGGGUAAUUUGAGUGGUAUCAAUCGAUUUCCCAAUAGGAUCAUCGAUAGACACUUUCUAUUGGUCGACAUACGAUAGUUGAGAUCAUUAGAUCUAGUUAAUAGAUGUGGGAACCAAAAUUCGCACUGUCGAUUUCCGUUUAAAUUAGGAAAGUAGGAAAGCCCUAAUUUCCCAGAGGUCCCGGAUAUCUGCUAUUGCCACACGCCAAGCAAUCAGAACACUAAAUAAAGACGAUAAAGUACAAGAAAUCGUAAAAAGAGAGCAAAGUAGAUCUUAUUCCGAAUUCACAUUUGAGCGUUACAACAAGGUAAGAACCUGGGCCACGAGAGCUGUCGGCAAGAUUCCUAGUUCUAAAACCCUAAGACGGCAACAACCUAAUUGAGUCACAGCUCGAAUAACGAAAACGGAAAAUUGCCUAAACUGCUCUAAGCGCUAAAUUUGCUGUGUCUAAGUCGAGCGGGACGCGCGCUCGGUCGCUAGGUAGCGACCGAGCGGAACGUGCCCUCGAUCGCUUUGUAGCGAUCGUGCGACCUUAUUCGGGCUUUUCUCCGAUGUCUCGUGUUUCCUCUACAAAGCUCUUCGUAAGAACGAAUCUAUUUCGAAAAAGUAUUUGUCGAAGAUAGUUCUCAUUUUCUUCUUUGGACGUUUUGAAUGUUAACUUUGUCGCAACCGUUUUUGACCCCAACAAUAGACAAGUCCAAACAUUGCGAACGCUGAUGGACUUGAUGACUAAGUAGUUGAGCUUUACAUUGUCAUGCAUGCAACUCAUUAGGCACUACAAAAAAAUACAGUUAUUGUUACGAAACUUUGUGACAAAAAAAUAUUUGUCACAAAUCUGUGACAUUUUGGAGACGAUAGGUGACUAAGUUUUUUAUGUCACAAAGGCGUAGCUGUUUUGUCACAAUAUUAUGACGUUCCAAGUAGUAAUCCAUUUUUGUCACAAUUAGUUACCUAAGAGUGACGAUAAUAAACAAUGUAUUAGCCGUGACAUAUUUGUGACUAUAUUCACGGUUGUCUUUGUGACGAUGUUGUGAUGGAAUAGUUAGUCUCAUACUGUGACAAAAAGACUAGAUAAUUAUGACGAAUUGGUAUAAAAUUAUAACUGGAUUUUUUUAAUAAGUAUGACUAAAAAUUUCUUAAGUACAAGUUUCUUAAACUACAAAAGUUUUAGCAUAAUCGUGAAUCAUGAUUAUAGUGUAUUCAGAAAGGCAUUUUCCAUAGGCAUACAAUUGAAGUGAUUGAGUAUAGUGUACUCAAAAAAGAAAUUUGCCAUAGGCUGACAAUUCUAGGGUCCCAAAAUUGUGCAGGCAUGGUGUAUCGAAGUGCUUACAAUUCUCAACACUGAAUGUUUGUGUGUUCGAGUUGGGUUUGUGGUUAUAAAUAGUUUUCAUGGGUUAGAUUUUUUAUAACAGAAAUUAAAAAUCAUAAUUACAUAUACAUGAGUUCUUCAUCAAACUAUAUUCUUUAUAAGAUAUAGAGUUUAGUCUUUUUAUUGGAUUAAUAAACAUAAAAUAUGUAAUGUAUAGUGUGGGUGACUCAAUCAUGAUACAUGUAAGAGAUGAAUAGAAUUUCUUAACCAAAAAUUUGGGUUUCACUACCAUGUAACGUGAAAGUGAUAAUUCAGUUUAUGCUGAUGUGCAACUAACACUACAAAUUAUUGUUCAAUUAGUGUUGACUUGAAAAGAGAAUAUUUAUUGUUCAUGUUAUAUAUAUUAUAUAUAUAUGUAUAUUUAAUUAAAUGAUAAGUAUGAACAACAUAGAAGUUAUGAAUAAAAGUGGCAAUCAAGUGACUAAAACUAUUGAUAUUAAGCUAAAGAGUUAUAUUUGUUCGAGAAUUAUAUUAUCAUAAUGUUUUUUAUUGAAGGAAUCAGUUUUCACUUAUUAGAAUGAAUAUCUAGGUAGAUUUAGAAAGAAAAUCUAAUUAGUUAAAGAAAGAGGAAAGAAAGCCAAAACAAACCAAAUUAUUAUCAAAAUUAAUAGGAGAAUCAAGAAUCCCGGUAAAAGAGGAUAUUAAAUUGGGUUGUUGCCAUCGUCAUCUAAUACCCUAAUAUUUCAACUAAUAUAUCAUAUCAAUACAAUAUUAAAAGGGGAAUAUGAGCCUCAUCUAAGCUGUCCACAUAGGAUUGGAAAAUCGUCCAAUGGGGAGCUUUUUUUUUUUUUUGGCCAUGUCAGCAUGGAGAGAAGGACAAAUGCCGACACGCAGCGCUCAACCCACCCUUUUCCCGUUUUGUGAAAAAAUUAUUCUUCGAGAUGGGCUUUUCCUUUUCAUGGCAAAGUCCAUUAAUACCGAAGUCCAGACUACUUUGAAAAGUCUCCUCCUGCUUUUCCCUGCAGUGUUCACGAUCCCUCAAAUUCUCAGAUUAUAAUUUCAGAUCUGUAACGAGGAGAGCAUGUCUUUACUUUCCACCAUUAAAUCAGUCUUUCAAUCUCUCCCACGACGUUUUAUUCAAUUAGCUCUUUUUGUAAAGUUCAGAUGAAAACCCUAAAAGACAUCUAUAUAAACCGUCUUCUAAUUCUUCGGCUCAAGGUGUUUCCCGAGAAGAUCGUGUCUUUUUUAUAACGCAACCUGCAACCAUGGUGGCUUACUAAACUUUGCAACAAUGGCGGCUUACCAACAAAUUUUCUCUGAUGUUAGCACUGGACGGUGUUCCGGUACAGUCGUCAAGCGUCUUUCGCGAUUCUGGGAAACCCGAUAUCUCAACAAGGAAGGGGAACUGAUUGGAGUGGACAUGCUCCUUCUAGAUGAGAAGGUAACGCUUAUCCAAGGGUUUAUCGGUGGAAAUCUGCUUAACACUAUCCGACAUCUUCAAAUCAGAAAAAAAUCCACCAUGGGAAAUCGCAGUUCUCGCUUUCUGAAUUGAAACUUGGGCGUUCUCUACAGAGUGAUGUCACCAGGUUUCUUUGAUUCUGGGAGGCGCUAAAUGCGAAGAAAGGAAUUGUUUCCAGAGAUAGGAUUUACUAUGCAACAGUUUUGACUAGCAAAAACAGUUCACGGGGAGAAGAAGAAGAAAUAGGAGACUCGAGCACACAACUCAGAUUCAGGCUGCUGUCUCUUUAGGUUUUGUGGAUGCAGCUGUUGCUGAUAUCGCAGGAGCCACCACUGCGUCUUCGAGCGAUGGGAAGGAUGAGCAAAUGGCUAAAACUGUUGUGGCGGUUUUCGUGACCCUUGCUCGGUCAAUGCAGGUUGCUGAAGUGAUUGGAGCUAAGAGAGAGCAUUAGGCAUAUAUGUUAUAUACUUCUGUACUUCCAGAGAUAUCAUGACACUCACUGCCGGCAAAGCCACAUUGUUAAGAGGAGUGGCAAAAUGGAAAGUGAGAUAUAUAAAGGAAGUUUGGAACACUGCAUCAGUUACUCCAGUAGAUAAAGGAAUCACUACUUCUGAAGGAUGCAUUGACUUAAUAGUGGUGGCAGUGGAAGUUCGAGUAGUGAACAGUAGUCACAUUGGCGAACUUAUACAAGAGAAUUUCUUAGGAACUGGUAGAAAAUAAUGGCUUGCAAGAUUAUCAUUUAUUUUUUAUUUAGUUUACUUUCACUUCUUGGUUAUUUUGCCUAAUGCUUUUGUUACCUUUGUAAGUGAUCUCCACUGGAAAAUAGUUCAAGUUUACAUCAACAAGAUGAUCAAGUAAAUUAUCAUUGAUCUGAUGAAAAAAAAAACUAAAAAAGAGCCAAAUUAUUUGUCAGUUAGUGGGAAUCUUUAGCUUACUUCACAUUCACAUGGAUGUUGAUUUUGUUAAUAUCAAGCACACAAAUAAAUUUGAAAUAGCGGGUUAAGAAGAGAAAGCAGAAACUAAACUAAAGCUGAUAAAAAAGCAUUCAUAAUGAUGGUGAUAAUGAAGUUAUGGGAUCCACAUUUGAGAAUCAUGAAAAUAAAAGACUGUAAAAUGUACGUCUUUAGUGUUAGUUUAUUUGGAUUGUUUGUUUGGAUCAUCUAUAUAUGUAUACUACCUACAUAUAUACAUGUUUGUGGCUACAUAUGCAAAGUCCCAUGAACAUUUUUGUGAUUUGCCUUUUGGUGGAACGUACCAUUUCAUAGUUGUAAUGCAUGCUUUCUUACAAAAAAAAAUGAUCUGCAGUCAGUUAUAUUAUUUGCUCUCAUUACUGUGUUGAUGAAAUUCAUGUAAGUUUUUUUUUCAGUAUUACUGUAAUGUAAUUAUUUGAGUAAAUGUAAGAAUAUUAAGUCAGCUCCUUCUAUAAAAGGUUCCUCUGUGCAUCAUCAAUUGUAUUCCAGUUUGGUUAGUUUAGUUGCAUUUGUAAUCAGAAGUGCCAAUUAUAUAUACAUUAGCCCCUUGCGAGAGUCUUCAGCUUACGCUUCUGAAGUGGUGGGGUUCAAGGAGGAGUCUGCCUUAUUCACCAGGUUCAAGAGUUGUUUACUUUUAGGAGAAUCUGGACAGGACCAUCUUGGUAAUGGUAAGUCUGGCUAAAACCAGUAUCAGAACCACCAUGCUUCUUCAAAUUAGAAUACAGAGCUGAAAACGUGAUGCAUUUUUUGAUUAGACGAGACAUGAAUCAUAUUUAAUUAUUUAUAGUAUUGAUUUUAUGGUCGAAGAAGGAACAAUUUGGUUUUCACCCAUAGCCAAUAGACACAUGCCACGGUAAAUGGAGUGUCUGCGGUUCAUCUAACCGUUAACCGUUUACUUAUGAAAUAGUAAAAUUUAAUUUUAGGAAAUUAUAUUUACAUUUAUAGAUACUCUUACAAAUUAAUAUUAUUUAUACAUCCGCCCGCUACAUCGAAGCUAAGGUAUCACCACCACUUUCGAUUGAUAAUCAUGGAUCUAUGCAUUGUGGAGUUUAGUGAUUAAUCAUUGACGUGUAGGAGUUCAAAUGGGAGACAUUGGUUUUGACUGAUGACGGGAAGAAAUAUGCGGCGGAAGGAUCGCCGGAGAUUCACUUUUUCUCGGCUAUUCCUGAGGAAGGUAGCAUAUCCAAGGAUGAUCUUGAGGUGAUGAUUACUAUGCUUUUGAUAAUCUCUUUUAUCUUUCACUGGUGUGUCUUAAAGAUUGUUAUUUUUGUUUGUUUCAAAAAAAGCUAGAUCCUUCUGUUUCCAAAAUUGGAAGCACACAAGCUGCUAAAAAGAGGUGGGUUGAAAUGGAAAAGCAAGUUUCUAGGAAGGUAUUGAAUUGAAUUGUCUUGGCUUCUUUUAUUCAUCAUGUUGACUUUGUAAUCUUUUAAAGUGAAGGAGUCUCUUCUACAAGUACAACAAGGACUGGUUUGUUUAUUCAGAACUAUUAUGUAGAAAUCUAAUCCAGCUUUUUAUAAUUUAUGAGACUAAGUUGGCAUUUCUCACUUUCAAGAACUUGACAAAGAAAGUCUCAACUCUUUCAAAACCAGGAAACUCUUAGUAACACAGUAACUACCUACACUUUUUCUUUUUUUGCAAAUUGUUUUAUCUUUUGGGAGACAUUGUUUUUAAAGCUUACCACCUUUCUUUUCUUAUUAGGGGAUGGACGGGAUAUUCUGAUGUUGAGAAAGGUCAUAAUAAUGCUCCCAAAAGGAAGAUUUUCGCUACUGACUUGACUCGAGAAAAUCUACACCCCUAACGUUUGUUUUCUAGACGUAUUAAUUAUGUUGUUGGCAUUGGAAAAGUAAGAGAAAAAUGGAUACUCACAUGCAGCUGGAAAGAGUUGGAAUUCAAGGAGUAUAACUUCAAUGCUUAGGGACAACCUCUUGAUGCUGGCCAUCUCCAUCCCCUUCUCAAGGUACUCAGGAGUUGUUGAAAUCGUUUACUUCAAGCGCAAUGUAUCUUAGUGUUUUAUGUAACUCAUACUGAAAUGUAGUUUACUUGAUGGUUAACUGUUCUGUUUAUAUCAUGCUGUUUUGUACCCAUGUGAGUGUGUUCAACUCUUAUUAUGACGUUGGUCUUCUUGCUCAGGUCUCAGCUUCUCUGUCCUUUUGCCCAUCAGAUCAACAAAGUUUCAUGUCUGAACUUGAUUCCCAGGUCCCUACUGCCUUCGGACUCAUGUGCGGGAACAAAGGAGUACAUCCACAUCCGUGUGCAGCAGCGCAAUGGUAGGAAAAGCUUGACAACAGUCCAAGGGUUGAAGAAAGAAUAUAUUUACAGAAAUAUACAUAAGGACCUCAAGAAAGAGGUUUGUUGCAACGGUACAUUGGUUCAUGACUCUGAACUCGGACAGGUUCAUGUUUUUUACAGCAAGAUACUUAAGGACUUAAAGAAAGAGUUUUGUUGCAACAGUACAUUGGUUGCAAACACAAUAAUUGCAUAUAAAUAAAUAUUUUAUCAAUUCAAAUAUCACUAGAAUAAAUUGUUUUCAUAUGUUCCGAAUAUUUAAUAUUAAAUCAAACAUACAGAGUUUUUUUAUCAUUGCAAAAUUAUUUUAUCACGUAAAAUACAAUUUAAAAAUACUCAUGCAUUUGAAAUAUUUAGUAUAAAAAUAAAUAUCAGUUU